AUACGAAGGGGGCGUAGCGUUGCUCGGAAUCACUGGGCGUAAAGCGCACGUAGGCGGCUUUCUAAGUCAGGGGUGAAAUCCUGGAGCUCAACUCCAGAACUGCCUUUGAUACUGGAGAGCUUGAGUUCGGGAGAGGUGAGUGGAACUGCGAGUGUAGAGGUGAAAUUCGUAGGUAUUCGCAAGAACACCAGUGGCGAAGGCGGCUCACUGGCCCGAUACUGACGCUGAGGUGCGAAAGCGUGGGGAGC
rnacentral:rRNA from 1 species